rnacentral:rRNA from 1 species
GACGAACGCUGGCGGCGUGCCUAAUACAUGCAAGUCGAACGCAGUGGGGACGGGUGAGUAACACGUGGGUAACCUCCCAUCAGAGGGGAUAACACUUGGAAACAGGUGCUAAACCGAUACUUCUGUAUGGACCCUCGGUGCAUUAGCUAGUUGGUGAGGUAAAGGCUCACCAAGGCGACGAUGCAUAGCCGAGCGGAGAGGUGGAUGGGCCACACUGGGACUGAGACACGGACAAGACUCCUACGGGAGGCAGCAGUAGGGAAUCGUCGGCAAUGGACGAAAGUCUGACCGAGCAACGCCGCGGGAGUGAAGAAGGUUUUCGGAUCGGAAAACUCUGUUGUUAGAGAAGCGGGAAAUAAAGAGAAAGCCACGGCUAACUACGUGCCAGCAGCCGCGGUAAUAG